CUACUGCCAUGCUCCAGAAUUUGUGUAAGCACAUAAAACAUCUUUUUUUUUUAAAUACUUUGAUAAAUCAUCUUUUCACAUCCCAGAGGCAUUCAGGUAGACUAGAAACAAGACGAGCAUUGAAGGCAGGCAAAUAGAGUUGAAUUUCCGGAUAUUACAUUUCCAUUUAUUUUAUAUAUGACCUUGGAGAAGUCACUGGCCUUUCUCAGCUUGAGUUCUCUCACCUGGAAUUACAACUACCUCACAGAAUCACUGUAAGAAUUUAAUAGCGUACUUAAAUCAAGUGGCUGAGUAUUAAUAUUUUCAUACCAUUGAUCUAUGUUUGGCCUUCUGAACAAUUCAGUGAGAUGGGAGGGCAGGUAUUAUGAUUCUUUUUUUUUUUUUCCUGUGCAUGUCCCAUAUCAGUUCAGAGACAGAACAACUCAACUUGCCCCACAGCUUGCCCUGGGCUCUUUCUGCUCUAACCUUAUCAUAGUUCAUUAGAAGGGCUGUAAAAUGGAUUGUAAUAUAAGACGACCCAGGAGGCAGGUUUUCACGGAGGGACUCAUGAGGUCACAUAGUGGUACUUUGUUUAGAUUGUGUCAAAACUUGCGGCCAGUGGAGGGGCAGGAAAGCUUUCAGCCAAAUAUUAAUACAGUCGCUGAGAACACCAAUGGCAAAAGACAACGAUGGUCAAAGAACAGCAAGGAAGGGGCAGAUCACCAAAGUUUCAGUCAGCUAAAACAGGCAUGGGAGGGAGAGCACGAUUUCCAUCCCCGACUGCUGCCACAGAUUCCAACUGCAAGUGCAAGGGCUGGUAAAACAAUAAAGUCAUCGUCUUUUAUCUCCAUGCCAGAUAGACUCUUUCCUUGGCUUCCAGACAAAAUUCACUUAUUAUAAUUAUCUUCGGAGCUGGCAAUGGCCACUAUCUAAAACUGUGUAAAUGUUCCAGUGAAACCCUGUGGAGCUGGUGUUUGUGUCAAGCUGGGCAGGUGACUGUCCCCCCUGACUGCUGCAGUGUCAUUUCGCUCACACAGAGGCAAGUACCCAUGCAAGGCAUAAGCACGGUGGGAAGUCACUGCAGUGGAAACACACAUAUCAUAAAGCACAUGUGCAAUUCCUCUUCAGCAUACUUCAUGAAACCUAAGUUGACAUUUUACAGCUAAAGCAAGUUUUUGUACUGACUACUGUGCUAAAAGAGCGCUGGGCUGUUACGCACAGACGUGCUGUUUCGCGAUACAGAAUUUUAACUAUUCUGAUGUAUUAUUAGCCAUGUGAAAUUCA
rnacentral:lncRNA from 1 species